rnacentral:RNase_P_RNA from 1 species
GAGUCGGCCAGGCGGUCGCGUCGCGGGGAAACUCGCGCCGAGGAACGUCCGGGCUCCACAGGGCAGGGUGGUGGGUAACGCCCACCCGGGGUAACCCGCGGGACAGUGCCACAGAAAUCAGACCGCCGCCCGGUUCGCCGGGCGGUAAGGGUGAAACGGUGGUGUAAGAGACCACCAGCGCACCGGGUGACCGGUGCGGCUCGGUAAACCCCACCCGGAGCAAGACCAGACAGGAAGUGCUCGAGGGCUGCCCGCCCGAGCUUCCGGGUAGGUCGCUGGAGGCGUGCGGCAACGUACGUCGUAGAUGGAUGGCCGCCACCGGGGCAAGGCUCCGGGACAGAACCCGGCGUACCGGCCGACUCAU